AGCAGCCGCGGUAAUUCCAGCUCCAAUAGCGUAUAUUAAAGUUGCUGCAGUUAAAAAGCUCGUAGUUGAAUUUCGGGACCAUCAUGUUGGUCGUGCCUCGGUACGUACUGGCAUUGUUGGUUUCUCCCUUCUGACGAACCAUGAUGUCAUUUAUUUGGUGUUGUGGGAAAUCAGGACUGUUACUUUGAAAAAUUAGAGUGUUUAAAGCAGGCUCACGCUUGAAUACAUUAGCAUGGAAUAAUGAAAUAGGACGUUUGAUUCUAUUUUGUUGGUUUCUAGGAUCGACGUAAUGAUUAAUAGGGAUAGUUGGGGGCAUUAGUAUUCAAUUGUCAGAGGUGAAAUUCUUGGAUUUAUUGAAGACUAACUACUGCGAAAGCAUUUGCCAAGGAUGUUUUCAUUAAUCAAGAACGAAAGUUAGGGGAUCGAAGACGAUCAGAUACCGUCGUAGUCUUAACCAUAAACUAUGCCGACUAGGGAUCGGAUGAUGUUAUUUUUAAUGA
rnacentral:rRNA from 1 species